GUUACCCGUUACUUUGCCAUGAGCAUCAAUCUCUGCAUAAUUUUCGAUGGGAUAUUCAAUUUUUUGUGGUUGUAAAGGAGGAUCUGCCUGAAAUAUAGGCGCCUGCUUCUUGGGAAAAAUACCUUGUGCAGUACUUGGCACAGGUAAAUUGGUUUUUGUAGGAGGCGGCAGAGCUGAAGGAAGGUCCUUGGGAAAAAUACCUUGUGCAGUACUUGGCACAGGUAAAUUGGUUUUUGUAGGAGGCGGCAGAGCUGAAGGAAGGUCCUGCUGAGAAUAGACGUUGGAACUUUUUUUAUCAGUGGGAGGAUGUUUGUCCUUUGAAGGAUGCUGCUCUUCUGAAAGAACCCCAUUUGGAGGCUGCUUUGUCUGGGGCUGAUUGCUCUGAAGAUGAUCUCUUGAAAGAUGAAUU
rnacentral:lncRNA from 1 species